AGCAUGGUGGCUUAGUGGUCAGCACACUCGCCUCACACCACCAGGGUUGGGGGUUCGAAUCCCGCCUCUGCUC